UAUUAUUAAUACACGAUUCAAUUAUUCAUUUGCUGACAAACUUAUACUAGUAUAUAUUUUAUAAUAUAUUUUGAAUUUCACGGGCAACCGCAGAGGUUGGUGGAGCAUUUGCCUUAGCACUUUUGUCUACAAUAGUACCUGCGCAAACGGUGAAACGACAGCCAUAUUUUUUCAUAAUUAUUUGCUGCGACAUACGCUACGCUACUUUUGUGUUGAUGUUGAAUCAGUCGAGCUACGUGCUUGCUUCACUCAACGUUUUUAAUUUCUUUUAGGUUAUUAUUAAUUUUUUUUUACUUGUAUAAUGACGGAAAUUGUUAUAAAUAAAUUUAAAUUGUUAAAUUAAACAAUAAAAAAAUUAUGGAGUUAGUACUAAUCUCUUGGCUUACUGAGAACGAAACUACCUAUGUGUUUGUGGCCACCAAAAAAAGAUGAAGACAAAAGGUGAAUAAAUGGGUUGAACUUGAAAUCGUGCCUUUCAUGAGAUGGUUAAAAUAACCAAUCAGAUUAUCAGCUAAGCUAAGGAUUAUAAUCAAGGAUCACGCCGAUUAAAAAAUCCUUUAAAACAAAUGAUGUUGAGAGCACUGAGCACUCUCAGAUCAUUGAUCUAAAUACUGAGCCUAUGCUCUUGUAGUAAUUCCUUCCAACGACAAUUUAGAAGGAACCUGAUAAGAGCGAUGAAGCUGCGUGUAAAAGUAUAAUGGAACCUAAAGACCAGUACAUUUAGCUUUUGAAACCUAAAAAAUUAUAGUAGGAUGAAACCCAUUGGAAAAGAAAGAGAAUACAACGAAAAUGAAAGGAAAAAUAAAUGUCGGGAAGUGAGGGGUUAUGGGGAUAAAAACGGCUUAUGUCGAUUUCUGGCUAAACUACAAGUCUUACGGAAAUAAGGCAUCACAAACUACCUACGAACAUCUUGCGAAAUAUUUGCAGCGUAUUAUUUGCACUGAAAUGUCUAAAGUAAAAAAAAAAAGCGUCAAUUACACCAUUGGACAACAAGUUAAAAAAAUAUUAGAAGACGUCCAGCAGUCAGGAGAUGCACCGAGUAAACAAAGAGCUUGGAAUAUUAUCGGUGACGCCUUGCCAUACAAAGACAUUGCGACAUUUGUAGUUUUAUAAAU